rnacentral:rRNA from 1 species
UACAGAGGUCCCAAGCGUUGUUCGGAUUCACUGGGCGUAAAGGGUGCGUAGGUGGCUGGGCAAGUUUGAUGUGAAAUCUCCGGGCUUAACCCGGAAAAUGCAUUGAAUGCUGCUUAGCUGGAGGUUUGGAGGGGGGACUGGAAUUCUCGGUGUAGCAGUGAAAUGCGUAGAUAUCGAGAGGAACACCAGUGGCGAAGGCGGGUCCCUGGACAACACCUGACACUGAGGCACGAAAGCUAGGGGAGCAAACAGG